UAGCCAAGUGGUUAAGGCUAUGGAUCGCCAAUCCGGAGACUGCGGGUUCGAUUCCCGAU
rnacentral:tRNA from 1 species